AAGCAGCACAAAGUACAGUCCCCUCUUUCAGGAGCAGGGAGAAGGUUUAGACACACUGACUUGAACCCCUUGCACGUGUGCUUAAACUACAUCAAAUACUAGGGAAAGCAUCAGUAUAAAUUAGUUUAGCAUCUAACCAUCCAAGUGUAGAAAUGCAGAGUAUAUACAUAGGCUGUGUAUCGAGUUAAUAUUUAAAUAAACAGUAAUUGGUAGAUAUGAAUAUGCUGAGAUUAGGGAUGCACCGAUCAAUACUGAUAUCCAAUACCGGGCGCAUUCAAUUAAAUUACGCGCGUACUACGCGAUGAGUCAGCAGCGCGCUGAUACACCCGAACAUGUUGCUGAGAGCUAACGUAGCAUUAUUGGACUCUUUGGCAAGCAAGUUAUUAGAAGAAGCUAAAGUAUAUAAUGAACAAUUUAAGUUCUUUGAAGGAAGCUAGCUCGAUAUUCUCAGUACAGAUACCAUGGCAGAGGCUACGAAGAAACAGAAGCAGUUGUCAGAGGAAGCGAGGAAGAGAAAAAGAGAGUGACCGAGCAAACUAUUUUACCGGUGAAACAAACACAGAUCUCCUGGUUGAAAGCCCUGUUUCUGACCCACCAGUCCACCCCAACCACGUCCUUACAUGCACUUCACUGUUAAUGUUGAACAAUGACCCUGAAAGGCUUCCCCCAGUGUGUUGAACUAUGACACUAAAGGGUGCCAAGUGCAUUUGUACCAGAUGCCGAAGGACGUGACAAGGUGUAGCUACAGUAUUUGACACCCUCUGGCAAUGAGAACCAACUGAGUACUUCUUCCACCUCUGAUGCCAGUACAGAACUGUCGCUUUUUGUCACACCAGAAACAGCUACAAGUUGUUGUUUUGCCUGGUGCCACAGUGGGAAUUGCUGCUCUUGAUUCCGCACCAAAACAUGUUAAACAUAAAUUAUGCUGCUAAAGAACAGAUCACAGGAGCUACAUAAUACAACACAAAUGCUUGUGAUUGUAGUGUACUUGGAUGUAUUUAGAGAAUACCCAAGAGGGUAUGUCUAAAAGAGUACUGUACAGUAGUGAUAAAUGAAAUACAAUGCUGAAGCCAACAGUGUGCCAACACUACAGUAUGUACAGUAAAUGCAGAAGGUACGUGGCAAUGUACAGCAGUAUCUGCAACAGUGCUGCAGUAUCUGAGGUCACUGUUAUUCCUGUUAUAUUACUGUUAUGAGUAUUACUUUUUCUCCAAUAGAACAUCAAUGUAUUUUGUAUGUGGGCCCUAUAUUACCAGGGCUUGAUAUUAAAUGUAUCUCUUUUCUUGCAUAAUGUAAUGCGCCCU